AAAUACAUGCGUAUGCCUCACAACAUGCAAUAUGCGAUUCAUACAAGUAAAUCUACUGAUUCUACUUUCUAUCUCACUAUCCACAGCUCAUCCAUUUACCAUUCUAUAUCAUUGGUCAUUCUCUGUCACUCGCCAUUUUCACCUAAGGUUUCCUUUACCUUAAACAACUAUACCACCCGACUCGGUCUCGAGUCAAUCAUCCGAGGAAUACCGCGUGCAUCCAGACCUGAGGAGAGGAACCUGCCAUACACCUCAGCCUUUAAUCCACAAACCACAUCGCCUAACGGGUCGCGAAGAACUACGUACACCCGUGGUCAGGGAUCCCCCGAUGGGAGAGGAACAUGCCGCAUACACCCGCAGUNCACCUCAGCCUUUAAUCCACAAACCACAUCACCC
rnacentral:lncRNA from 1 species